rnacentral:rRNA from 1 species
UACGUAGGGCGCAAGCGUUGUCCGGAAUUAUUGGGCGUAAAGAGCUCGUAGGCGGCCUGUUGCGUCCGCUGUGAAAUCCCGGGGCUCAACCCCGGGCGUGCAGUGGAUACGGGCUGGCUGGAGGCAGGCAGGGGAGAACGGAAUUCCUGGUGUAGCGGUGAAAUGCGCAGAUAUCAGGAGGAACACCGGUGGCGAAGGCGGUUCUCUGGGCCGAUACUGACACUGAGGAGCGACAGCGUGGGGAUCAAACAGG